GAUCCUGGCUCAGAAUCAACGCUGGCGGCGUGCCUCAGACAUGCAAGUCGAACGCGAAAUCUCCCUUCGGGGAGAAAGUAGAGUGGCGCACGGGUGAGUAACACGUAGGUAAUUUGCCUUUGGGUGGGGAAUAACAGCCGGAAACGGCUGCUAAUACCGCAUAAUGCAGCGGCUCGACAUCGAGACAGUUGUUAAAGCGGGGGAUCGCAAGACCUCGCGCCUGAAGAGAAGCCUGCGGCAGAUUAGCUAGUUGGCAGGGUAAUGGCCUACCAAGGCGACGAUCUGUAACCGGCCUGAGAGGGCGGUCGGUCACACUGACACUGACAUACGGGUCAGACUCCUACGGGAGGCAGCAGUCGGGAAUUUUGGGCAAUGGGCGAAAGCCUGACCCAGCAACGCCGCGUGAAGGAUGAAAUCCCUCGGGAUGUAAACUUCGCAAGAAUGGGAAGAAUAAGUGUGGGCUAAUACCCUUCAUGAUGACGGUACCAUUUGUAAGCUCCGGCUAACUUCGUGCCAGCAGCCGCGGUAAUACGAGGGGAGCAAGCGUUGUUCGGAUUUACUGGGCGUAAAGGGCGCGUAGGCGGCCACGACAAGUCACUUGUGAAAUCUCCGGGCUUAACUCGGAGCGGUCAAGUGAUACUGUCGGGCUAGAGUACAGAAGGGGCAACUGGAAUUCUCGGUGUAGCGGUG
rnacentral:rRNA from 1 species